rnacentral:rRNA from 1 species
AUUGAACGCUGGCGGCAGGCCUAACACAUGCAAGUCGAACGGUAACAGGAAACAGCUUGCUGUUUCGCUGACGAGUGGCGGGCGGGUAAGUCAUGUCUAGGAAACUGCCUGAUGGAGGGGGAUAACUACUGGAAACGGUAGCUACUACCGCAUAACGUCGCAGGAACAGAGAGGGGGACCUUCGGGCCUCUUGCCAUCUGAUGUGCCCAGGUUGGAUUAGCUAGCAGGUGGGGUAACGGCUUACCUAGGCGACGAUCACUAGCUGGUCUGAGAGGAUGACCAGCCACACUGGAACUGAGACACGGUCCAGACUCCUACGGGAGGCAGCAGUGGGGAAUAUUGGACAAUGGGCGCAAGCCUGAUGCAGCAAUGCCGCGUGUAUGAAGAAGGCCUUCGGGUUGUAAAGUACUUUUAGCGGGGAGGAAGGGAGUAAAGUUAAUACCGUCGCGCAUUGACGUUACCCGCAGAAGAAGCACCGGCUAACUACGUG